UAUUAGGUUGGUGCAAAAGUAAUUGCUGUUUUUGCCAUUAGGACCUAAUGAGUUAAUAAAUGAGUUAGAACAGUGUCUAGCACAUAGUAAC
rnacentral:miRNA from 10 species